GCCCCCGUGGUGAAAUUGGAUAUCACGCAGCGCUUCGAACGCUGUAUUCUGGGUUCAAAUCCUGGCGGGGGCA
rnacentral:tRNA from 1 species